UACGAAGGGGGCUAGCGUUGUUCGGAAUUACUGGGCGUAAAGGGCGCGUAGGCGGUCCUGAUCGUCGGAUGUGAAAGGCCUGGGCUCAACCUGGGAAUGGCAUCCGAUACGGCGGGACUGGAGUGUGGGAGAGGUUGGUGGAAUUCCCAGUGUAGAGGUGAAAUUCGUAGAUAUUCGGAAGAACACCAGUGGCGAAGGCGGCUCACUGGUCCGGUACUGACGCUGAGGUGCGAAAGCGUGGGGAGCAAACAGG
rnacentral:rRNA from 1 species